rnacentral:rRNA from 1 species
GACCGUUCUGGCCUAGUAUAAGCAAUUAUACCGCGGAAACUGCGAAUGGCUCAUUAUAUAAGUUAUCGUUUAUUUGAUAAUACUUUACUACUUGGAUAACCGUGGGAAUUCUAGAGCUAAUACAUGCUGAAAAUCCCGACUUCGGAAGGGAUGUAUUUAUUAGAUUAAAAACCAAUGCCCCUCGGGGCUCUCUGGUGAAUCAUAAUAACUAGUCGAAUCGACAGGCCUUGUGCCGGCGAUGGCUCAUUCAAAUUUCUUCCCUAUCAACUUUCGAUGUUUGGGUAUUGGCCAAACAUGGUGGCAACGGGUAACGGAGGGUUAGGGCUCGACCCCGGAGAAGGAGCCUGAGAAACGGCUACUACAUCCAAGGAAGGCAGCAGGCGCGCAAAUUACCCAAUCCCGACACGGGGAGGUAGUGACAAUAAAUACUGAUACAGGGCUCUUUUGGGUCUUGUAAUCGGAAUGAGUACAAUUUAAAUCCCUUAACGAGGAACAAUUGGAGGGCAAGUCUGGUGCCAGCAGCCGCGGUAAUUCCAGCUCCAAUAGCGUAUAUUAAAGUUGUUGUGGUUAAAAAGCUCGUAGUUGAACCUUGGGCCUGGCUGGCCG